ACGAAGGGUGCAAGCGUUACUCGGAAUUACUGGGCGUAAGGCGCACGUAGGCGGCGAUUCAAGUCAGAGGUGAAAGCCCGGGGCUCAACCCCGGAACUGCCUUUGAAACUAGAUUGCUAGAAUCCUGGAGAGGUUAGUGGAAUUCCGAGUGUAGAGGUGAAAUUCGUAGGUAUUCGGAAGAACACCAGUGGCGAAGGCGACUAACUGGACAGGUAUUGACGCUGAGGUGCGAAAGCGUGAGGAGCAAACAGGA
rnacentral:rRNA from 1 species